rnacentral:rRNA from 1 species
GACGUAGGGCGCGAGCGUUGUCCGGAUUUAUUGGGCGUAAAGCGCGCGCAGGCGGCCAUUUAAGUCUGAUGUGAAAUCUUGCGGCUCAACCGCAAGCGGUCAUUGGAAACUGGAGGGCUUGAGUACAGAAGAGGAGAGUGGAAUUCCACGUGUAGCGGUGAAAUGCGUAGAUAUGUGGAGGAACACCAGUGGCGAAGGCGACUCUCUGGUCUGUAACUGACGCUGAGGCGCGAAAGCGUGGGGAGCAAACAGG